CUCUCUUGUCUUCCCUCCUCCUCUUAUUUGCUAUUGUCCUCUUAAGAGGAGAAAAGAAAAAGGAUUCAACAUCCAAAGAGUAAUCUCUACAAGAAAGUUAGCACCCCGAUGACAUCAGGAUUUUCUGAUCAAAUCAUCUUUGUGUGGAUACCUGUAGAGGCCGAAUGCAUGUACAGCUUCAAAGGAACUAUGAAGACAUUCACAAUCAUCGAAUCAUGAUGAAGAUCUACCC
rnacentral:lncRNA from 1 species